UGCCGGCCGCGCCGCCCUUGGCCUAACGGCGGGCCGGGCCCGGCGGAGCGGCGCGGCCUGGGCGGCGGGCGGGCGGGCCGAAGGCCCGGCGGGGCGCGGGCGGCGGGGCGGCCCCGCCGCUGCCUUCCUUCUCCCCGUCCCCGCGAGCCGCGCCGGGAAACGGGCUCGCUGCGGACCGGCCCCGCCGCACCGGGACCGCGCUCCCGCGGCCGCGCGGUGCCCGCAGGACGGCCCCCGGGGUCCCGCCGCGGCUGCGGGCCGCGUUCCGGGGGUGCCGGGCCGACCUCGGGCCCGCGCGGCGGGGCCGCCUCGGUGUCCGGGCCGGGCGCGGCGGCGGUGGGGCCGCGGGAGCAACAGGCGGCGGGCGGAGGGCGGGCCGGCCCCGCUGCACGGGCGCGCUCGGGCCGAGUUCGGCGCGUUUGGGCCGGGGCUGCGGCUCCGCGCUGUGCCCCGGGGCGGCCGUGCGGGGCCCUCGGGGCUGCGGCUCCGCGCUGGGGAAGCGGCACCGCCAGCGCCGGUGGGGCCUAAGCGGGCGCGGAACGGUGUGUGAGUGUGUGUGUGUGUGUGUGUGUGUGUGUGAGUGAGCGUGAGCGCAGCGCGCCUUCACCUUUCCUCUCUUCUCCCACCCCCGGGCAGGGCCGCCUCCCGCCGCUGCACCGCGGGCUGCUGCCGCCCCCCGCCGGGGUGCGCCGCUCUGAGCCCGGUCCGUACCGCGCUCUGUCAGCGGUUUAUCGGCCCUUAAAAACUUCGGCUUCGCAGGUGCCCUCCUGCCCCCGCAGCCCUCGCUCCAGCAGUCCCUAAUUCAGCCUCAUUUUCGAACUGCAGCCCCUGCCGCCGUUCCAGGCAUCCCGAGCCACUUACUCAUUCUUCCCAAUGCUUGUCGCUGCUAUCCUAAAUAUAGGGUAGUGUGCCAACGGGAGAGGCUCGGGAGCGAGCCGGGGUGCAGGGAACGCCACCGCCGUGUCGGCAGAGCCGUGCUGCUCCCAGCCCGUGCUGCCUGCUUGCUGCAGGCUUUGUGCUGCUUGGGGAGCUGCCGUGAGUUCCUGAAUGGGAUGGGGUUGGUUAUGGUGUGUGCUGACUUAGCGGUGCCCGGGGUAUGGGUCAGUGUGCUCUUUGCCUUGCCCUGCACCCGCGGGUCUGUAGGGAUUUGUUAACCCCGAGUGCUUCUCUGCUUUCAGACGUGGCUCACACCGAGCUGAGUGCUGCGGGGCCGCGCUCUGCUCCUCUGGCUGCUGCAGGGCCUGAGGGUGGGCAGUGGGGGACACCGGGAUCCCCGCCGGCUUCGGCUGUGAUAGGCACAGCCAGAACUGGCUCAGACCUGACCAUAGCUUAUCUGCCACGGCCGGCUGCUCUGGAGGAAUUCCUGCACGUCUUCUGGCGGCAGAACUUCGCUCCGGCAGCGGGGGGACGUCGGAGGGAAUGCUGCGUCCUGGUUCGUGCCAUAGAGAGAGGCGCUGCGGUGCUUUGCACCUGAGCCCGGGGUCCCCUCAGCUCUGCUGGAGGAGGUGAGAGGGCGGUGGGGUCACGCUGGUGGCACUGCCGGGCUCCCCUGGCACAGGGGUGAGCCGCAGCGUGCUGCUGGUGCAGCAGAGGUGUGUGACACAGCAGCAGGAGCGGUGUGAGCUGCCUCUCCGCGUCCCGUCAGCUGAGGAAUAGCGUGGAGGAAUGAAUUCCAGUGAGUUGGAUGAGGAAAAUGUAAACUCUGCGUUCUCGUCGGGCAAACAGCAGUCGUGUAAAUAAACGUCUCUGGGAUUCCUUGUGGUGCUCAUCGACUGCCCGAUCCCUCGUGGUCUCUUGUUGAACUGGUGGGGUGGCUGCUGCUGCUCCCCCAGCUCUGAGUGCUUUGCCAGCAGUUUGGGCAAAACACAAGUAAACACCAUUGGGUUGACCCGGCAUAUCUGAGGUCUUGGUAUGCUGAAAAUGUUUGUUCUUGGGAUGUUUGUGCAGUCUGGAGGGCUCUGUACUUUAAGUCCCGUUUGCUGAGGACUGUGACUUGUUUAAUCUGUCUGAAGAACCUGUGCUUUUGGGGCUUGUUCUGUGAGAUUGAGUAAGUUUGGGCAAAGCCUGGAGGUGCUGCAGGAAGGGAGGUUAGUUCAUUAACCAACGGUCACGCAGGUGUGCAUAUUUCCUGCUCCGCCGCGUUUUCCUACCUUUGUAUUUUCCUGCAUUUAUUCACUGACUCAAUUCUGGUCUGGAUUGAAGUUCAUUGAAGUGGGAAAGGCGCUCGGGACUGCUUGGUGUUGCUUUGCUUUUCCUGAGUGUGCCGGCUGUGCUGGGCUGCCUGCAUCCUGGGACGGGCGGUGAAUAGAAGCCGAAGCUCCUGUCUGGAGGGCAGCCUUUGCCUGAGGUGUCAGCAGGGCUCAGGUGAGAUCUCACACCCCAGUACUGCAUGCCAUUUUCCCCAGUGCUGUGUCCUGCUCAAGGUCACACGGCGUGGCACCGUGGGUUCCCGGAGGCCAGGCUCCCUCUGGGAGGUGCCCUGGCAUCCCCACUGCACCUCCACAUCCUGGGCCAGGUUGUGGGCCUGCUGCUUCUGACAUAUCCAACUUGGGGAGCUCCUGGUGGGCCCCCAGCUUUAGCACAAAGGGUUUGUGCUGGUGGCACCCUUGCUAUGGACAUGAGCAAGCUCCUUCCUGCACGUGGCGGCCAGUCUUUGCUGAGCUGAUCUUUUUUUUUCUUUUUCCCCCUUUUUUUUUAUUCCCCUGGAUUAACUUUCUGCAAAUUAGUAACCCAAAUGGUCACACGAAGGAGUGGAUAAGCACAGAGCCCCAGAGGAGGGGGCCCAGCCUGGAGGAGGAGGAGGAGGCAGCGGGUGCUGGUGCUGCAGCGGUGAGUUAGCACAGGGCACUCUCAAAAGGGCCCUUCUCUUCCCCACUCUCAGCUGUGCCCUCCUGCCUCCUCCCACGUGCCAGCUGUGGUGCUGAGCCCGUGCAUUGAUGAACUGACCCAGCUCGCUUGGCAUUCAAUUGUUCUUUUCAUGGUGGGUUUUUUUUCCGUGUGAGCAUUUCCCUGCUGGUCAGGAGGGGACUCAGACCGGGCUGGCAGGCAGGGAGCCCUCUGCCAGCACGGCUCUCCACUGAGGUCCCUCCUGUGGGGUUACUGCCCUGCUUGCUGCUACUGCAGGUGUGCUGUAGGGCUGCAGGGCCGGGCGGUGAUUCCUGAUGGGAUCCCUAUGCGUUCCCCCUGGCAGAUCCUUGCAUGCGAGGGGCAGGGCGUGGGGACAGCGGUAGAUCCCAUCCCAGCACUGGGGAGGAGAGUGCUCGGUUUCACGUUGGGGUUUUCUUCAGCAAAACAGGCUCCUGGCCUCAUCUGCUCCGUGAACAGAUGUGUGAAUGAGGGACUCUGCUGACGAGUUCUCCUUUUUUUUUCCUCUUUUCACAUGUUGUGGUCUCACCGCAAUGCUCAGCUGUGGCAUUUGCCAUCGCGGUGAACCUGACCGAGAAUACGGGCUGUAUUUUCUCACGUGCUUUCUGAGAAGAGCUCAGCUCCUGGAGGGCAACGGGGUGGCUUCAGAAAGAUUUCAGAUCCUGGCUCAGAGCUCUACCACAAAUUGCUUUAAAAGCCUCUGUGCAGCGUUGGGUUCUGCAGUGCUCCUCGGGAGGACCUGACUGGUGGCAUUCCUGCCUGCCCUCGGUGCAGGGAUUGCAGGAGGGGUUUCAGCUUAUUGCAGCACGGCCACGGGUCACUCUGGUGCUGAACACAGGUGAUAUAUUCACACUGCUGCUUUCGGGCACGUUUCAUUUCUUUUUUUUCAACUAGGUUGUACGUUUAGACUUGAGGACGCUUAAUCCUCUGUGAAGAGUGUUCCUCAAGGCUGGCUGUUAGCAUCCUGUAGGUUUGAUGGGGGCUUCCAGCAGCAGAUACUGGGCACUUGGUACCAGUCCCCGGGGCUAGGGAUGAGCUGGAGUGUGGAAGGGCUGGGUGGCAGUCAGGGCUGGUGGUUUCCCACUCGAGCAGUGAAUGAUGAGGGGUGCUGUGACAGCCUUAUGCUGCUCCGGCUGCAGCACAGGUCCCUUGUGAGGGUGGCACUGCUUGCUUCUUGCCACCAUUUUUCCCUUUGCCUUAUGCAGGGUCAGCCCAGGGUGGAUUCUUUCAGACCCUCUGGGAAAUGCACCUUGUAGCAGAGCUCCUGUAAGGCCCCCAAUGGGUUUCCUUGUGUCCACGGCUUCUUAGGGGCUUUUCAGGUACAGGGGAGGGGACAGAGAUCUCUGUAACCAAAGGGGCAAUAUCUCCUGAGUCCUUUCUGGCUUCUAUGCAUCGCCCAUAAACUUAUGCUGUACUGUUGCCCUCCAGCUGAGGUGUUUGUUAUCUCCAUGCUGUACUCUGGGGAGUCUUACAGGAAGGCCUCACGCAGGGAGCAGAUUCCGAGUGUGAUAGCAGGAGGCAUUGUGAGCCAGAAGGCAGAAGAACUGUACUGCUGGAUGCUGAUACUGAGUGCUUUGGAGCUCUCUUUUUCUCCUCUAACACCUUCCAUCUGGAUCUGCUUCCUCUGAAGGUGAGCACUCAGCUUUUCCCCAGAUCAGGGCUUCUUAGCACCGGAUGACCUUGCAGUCACCUGCAAACACAGCGUGAGGCUGCUGGAAAUCUGAACUGAUGCUUUUGACACUGAGGCUGCAAAGAUACAAAUAAUCUGGGUUGCAACAGUUUGAUAUUUGCAUCCCAUAGGCUUUCCUGGCACCUGUUGCUGUGUUCUCUGUGCUGGAGGAGUUGGUUCUCUCAUGCAGGACCAUGCCUGGUGGUUUCCCACCCCAGAGAAGCUGUUACCGUUGGAGUUUCUAUCAUAAUGCCAGGAGGCACAUUAGGGAAUGAAAGGUGGUUGUUCUGAACUCUGUAUUAAAGGUCUCAGGAUCUUAAAAUUCAGUUCCCUCUCUCCUAUCAGCUCCCAAAAUCUUCGUUCUUUCCUUUCUCCUGCACGCUGCACUGUCGUGCAUGCUUUAUGACAUGUUGAAAAGUGUAAUUUUGGUAAUGCUGGCAACAGCUGAGCUUAACAGACUCAGCUUGUGUCAUUGACUUGGUGAGCUCUCACUCUGGAUUCACUUAAGGGCUCUGCCCUGUGGUGUAUGUGAGCUGAGUAGGUUCUGAAUGCAGGGUGUGUCGGUGGAUAUCAUCCCCUUCAAGAAAGUACAGAGGAUGCUAAAGCCUCUGUCAUAUCACUACUGCGGGCAGAACACCACGAACCUCGUUAAUAAGCUGUUUGUAAGGAAGGGAUAGGAAGGGCACUUCAUAGCCGUAACAAAGCUUGGUAAUCAAAGCUAACACAAAGAAGGGAUUCGGUUGUUACUGGCAAAGACGUUAACUUAUAUCUUUGGGCUUAAAUUGCUGGAGAAAGUGGCAGUGUUGCUGUGUGCGGUGCUGGUGAUAAGCCAGGAUAGAAGUUGUAUCCGGUCCUAUCUGCUCCAUGUGGCCGAGUGAAGGACUCCUGAUUGUCACAGCCAGUUUAGGCAUGAGAAGGGUUGCUAACGGCCUGGGUGGUGAGGUGGGUGAGCUGCUGCUGUUGAGAAGCAGUACUGCAGUCCUGUGGUAUGGCUCAGGCACCACCUGGUCCUCAAACCAGCAUGCCACUGCCACUACCAGGGUCCUGCACACCCCUUACUGCUGGAAACUGGAAUCCUAACUCUCCUCUGCCUUGGUGGCUUUGGAGCUGCAGGCUGGCCCUGGCAGGUGGAUGUGCCUGGUCUGUGGGCAUCUGGGAGCAGGGCCAUGGUGCUGCGCUGCUGUCACAGGAAGGAGCUGCUUCCUGCAGACCUCGCUGCUAUGUCCUGUUGCUGUCACCUUCACCCUGCUGUGCUCCAGUUUAGCAUCCUGCAGCCCUCUCCUGAAUUGCAGGCUCCUAAAGCUUCCCCUGGAGGUGCACAGCUUUGUACCUGCUGACUCCCGGUAAGCCUUCUUGCUCCUUUUGUGGGUUCCUUGUAGCCUGUUGAUGUGCUGCUUGAAAACCACUGACUUGAUGCAGCGCUUCAGGAGGUUCCUUGAUGUGGCUUCUCCUCUGCUUGGCAAAGAAAAACAGAGAACAGAGCAGGCAGUGAGACUUCGAAUUGGAUUUUUCCAGGAGUUGAGAUGAAAUUGAGAUUAGGCUCUUCCUUGUCCAUGUCUCUUGGAUUGGUGCAACGUGGUUUGGUCACUCCAGGUGUGUUGAAGUCCUGUUUUCUGCUUGUAUAUGGGAAGUCACUCUGGUGUAGCUGAGUCCUCAAGCCAGUGUUUUGGGGUGGGAUUCUUCUUAAGUAGAAGCUUAGGAUGAUGGCGACUUUAUCCUGCAUGCCUGACUCUUGACACAGUAGGUUUUUACCGACAGUCUUGGUCUGUGCCAACUGGAGAGGGUUACCUGGAGCACGGUGCUGCUUGGGCAUGCAGCAAGGAGACCAGAGUAAAAGUCACUCUUGGUAUGAGCAGAAGCAGAUAGCUCAGCUCUGCAGCCUGAGCUGACCCAGGAGUAGGCACCUGCUGCCAUCUCAGUGCGUGAUCCAACUGAAAGCACAGGCAAACGUGGAUGGAAGUUUGUAGGGACAGAAGUUGCUAAGCAUGUUGGUCCUGGUUUCACACUAACAGCACGAAAGCUGUCUGAGAGUGCAGGAAGAAGUUUGGUGGCUGCUACAAAAGUCGUUGCUUUGGGAAGCUUGAUGGUGUAAAUGUGCUCUAAAGUGAUGGUCAUGAGGACCAGCAAGAGUAACUGAAGUGGCUGGUGUCUUCCUGCCUGGCCUUUGUGAUCACAGCCAGCUGAGCUCAUUUCGAAGCACUCGUGAAGGCAAACAGCUGUCCUGUUUACCAUCUCUCCUCAGUGGGGAGGAAUGACCUGUGUCAGCAGGGCUGAAUUCUUCUCUUCUUUCCCUAGGCCUUGCUGGGAGGAGUGGAUGUGUGAACUCACCUCUAGGAGUGACCGGUGGCAGACCUUUUAGGAGUAGGAACACGGGCAGCUGCUGUCUAGAACAGCUAUGGUGCAUGGGCUUCUCCUGCAGGAAAGAGGCCCGCCUUCCAUUUGCUGUUGGCAGGCUUCAGAGCAGUCCCUUGCAUCGAAAAGCCAUACAAGAAAAGCACUGGAUGUAUUUUUAGAUGUCUUUUAAAGUGGCUGAAAAGCAACCUGUGUUGGGUCGCUCGCUGCAGUGCUGGAGCGGGCUGUGGGUGUGGGAUAGACCCAUCCGGAGACACGUGCAGUGGGGACUGCUUCACUGCUGCCAGGAUGCAGCUGUCUGUGGGAGCUGCUGCUGCUGGAGCAGUAGGGGCUGGCUGGGACAAUAGUGGGAAACAAGUGGGAGAUGUCCAGCUGAAACCAGUUUUAAUUUAUUUUUCCCUUAUCUGUUGCAGUUGUUUGGGUUUUCCUUGGCAGCUGCGGGCAGAACAGUUUGUGGCAGAGGAUUUUACAGAGCCCAAAAUUGGCAUGCUCUGAGUUGGUGCUGCGGGCAGAAGAGUCCUGCCUUCUCGUGCUGCUGCCAGGGAGCAGAAGUGCCCUUACAGAGCCCGCAUCCAGCAGGAACCUGUGCCAGGUGGAAACCAGCCUCUUGCUGGGCUCCUCUGCCAGGUGUCGGUGCCCUGGUCCCGCUCUGCAUGUGGCUUUAACUCCUGUGCCAGCACAAAGAGGAGUGGAAGAGCUUCCUCUGAAGGGGGCACCAGCUUAGAAGGACUGUGAAGCUGCCUUGUGUGGGUUUUCAGGCACGUCUGCCUGGCAGGAAGAGUUGGUCCAGCAAAUCCUUUCCUACCAGGUACUGAGUUGCUGGCAGUGGGUGAGGAUCCAUGCUGCUGAUGGAGCUGCCUGCAACGUUGAGCUUCUCUCAGGCCCUGCUUGCGUGAGCUCCCAAAAUCUCCACGGGCCAUUGAAUAGGAGGAAAAGUGCAUUGGGGUAGGAAGGAAGCGUGAUGCAUUGCACCAUGUUGCCUCAGAGGCGAGGGCGCUGCUUAGUGCAUGCACAGGGGUGUUGUUCCUUUGGAGGUGUUAGCUGAAAUCCUGGCCUGCACACAAGGGUGGGGGUAUUCACACAUCACAGCUGUUUGGUGCUUGUUUGGGGAGCGGGCUGGUUGACCCCUGCCCACCAAAUGAGAAGUAUUUUUUUCCUGCGAGCCAUGCCCUGUUAGAACAAGCAAAAAGAAUGGGAAGUAAUGCCAGAUGAGGAGCAGGGGACAGAAGAGAAGUGUCCUUUAGGACCAGCAGUAUUUACGUAAUAGCUAACCUACUAUUAAUGUAAAUAAGGAGCUGUGGUUUUUACCUUGGAGCGUCUGCCUGGGGUGGCUGCACAGGCAGUAUGUGGGCAGGUGGGGUGAGAGCUGGAGAGUGCCAGAUCGUUCUCCUUGUUUUCCAAAGCAUUUUGAAUUAUGGAAUUGUGACUGAAUUAUGGAAGCCUGUAUAUAGCGAGAGGAGGAGGGAGCCAGGGAAAGGAAGCCUGGAAAAGGUGUGCUUUUAUCCAUUGUUUGCUGGAGUGCUUCCUAGCUGGAAGAAACAGCUGGGGGGGGACUGUGGGUGUGCCUUUGACCACACAGCGGCCUUUCUGCAAGAUCUGCUUUCAUCAACCAGGUGGAACUUCAAGGACCUGUGGAGCUGAUCUCAGUAAAUGCUGCCCGUGAGUUCGGUGUGACCACGUUCAGUAAUCUGAAAUAGGCACUGAGCACUGCCAUAGGACCAGCUGCACUAAAUGUGUGUUUAGCGAGCAAAUCUGUUUCUCUGGCCCCCGUCACUUAAAAUGACUGUGGCUGUGCCGGACGAGCUCGUGAGGCUCCAAAGCCCCAGAUGACUUUGUAAUUAGUGCUGCUGUGAUGUGAGCCCACGUCUGGGGAGCAGGAUUUGCAUCGUGCUGGUGGAGCAGGACGUGGCCACGUGUUGGCUGUGGUGCUUGAAAGCUGUUGCUGAUGUCUGCCUGUCGGGAGGAGGCUGUCACAGCCGCAGAAUCCCCUGGUGUAGGGACACCCAGCUGGGCUGGGGGCUCCUGCUUCCUGACAGCCCCUUGCACUGUGGCUGCCUUCUGUCCCACACCGAGGCCCACAUGUGUGGGUGCUGGAUGAUCCAUUUAGGCUGGAAGUGCACUAAUUGAACAAAGCUUGGUGGGGAGCAGACCUGCCCAGCGCCUCCCAGCCCUCUGCAGCACUGACCCGUUGCGCUCACUGCCUUCCCGGGAGCUGCUGGCGGCUGCAGCGCUGGAUUUGGUAGCUAAUGCUCUUUGGAAUCGGUGUCAUUUAAAAAGUAUCCAGCCAAGAAAGAGCACAAGAUGUAAUUCCAACAGGGUUUUUUUUUAGAAGGGCGGUAGCUUCUAUUAAAGGGAAUCGGCACGGCCGUUGGCCCCGUGCGUGCCGUGGGCUUCCUGGGUGUUGGCUGUCCACGCUCCAGCUCUCCAAAUUCCUGCAGGAACGGUGCAAAGCUCAAAGUGAAACAUUCCUUCCACGCAUCUGCUGGCAUUCGCAGCACAGGUAUUUCGGUAGUUAACCCGUGGAGCUUGGGAGCGCAGAGCGGAGGUGCUGGGAGCGAGGGGUGAGGCAGAGCCUAUUUUUACUCUGUCACAAACAGGGCUCGGCAUGUUUAGUUUAUACUCCGGAGCCGCUCAGGCCGGGGUGUUUUUUAAUAUCUCCUCCUGCUGUUGCUAUCGGGUUGAAAACUCUGGAUAUCGCAGGAAAAAGCCAUUGCUCCUGUGAGGUGUGGAGGCCGCUGCGGCCUGCCUGCGGCCUGCCUGCGCCCACCCGCUGCUGCUGGGGGGUCUGUGAAGGCUGCGGCCUGCUGCUGGGCCCUGUGCCCGUGGUCCUGUGCCGUCCCGCGGAGGAGUGGGGGAUGGCUGGGCUUAAAACUCGUCAGUGACGUGCAGGAUGUGAAGGUCUGGGGAGCAGAGGCUGGGAGCAGGGAGCCCAUGCUGUGUGCUGUGCCCUCAGGUGCUCACCUGGGGCUGGCGGAGUUGCGGGGUGCUUCGCAUGUUGCGUUGCAAACUUUUAAGCUCUUUAUCCCAGCUUAUUGCUAAGGGCUAUUUAAAGCGUGGUGUGCUCACGCUGUGGUGACGUGUACGGUUCACAGGGAUGGGUCGCAGCUUCCUCGUGUUGGAGGCUGGAUGAGCAUGUAGGGUGAGCGGCCCCAAGGGGCCCCUAUCCACACAGGCUGGCCCUCCUCCUGCCCCCCAGCCCCUGGAAGCCAUCAGCCCGGACCUCCAGGCUGGGAUCUGCUGUGUGGCUUCAGGUUUGGUCCAUCCCCUGCAGACUGCAUCGCUAACCUGAGGCAACUGUACAAAGAACUAGUCAAGAUAUUGAUUAUUUAGCUCCUUUGCUAAUAAAUACCACUGAUGGUAAUUUACAGUUGUAUCGUUGUGCAUGCUUACAGCUACAAAGCUGGUAAUUAUUAAUCCAUGAUCUUAGAAGCUGCGCUUUGGAGCUGCCGUGUCACCCUGCCCUCCCACAGCACUCGGUGUCGGGGUGCUCGUCCCUCCCUGCCUGCCUUCCCACAGCAAAUCCUCCCCCACUGAUGGCAGGGUGAGUGCAGCACUCGGCCUUCCACCACUCCCCUUGCUCUUCCCAGACUCCCAAAUAACAGACUUGUUACUUCCUUGCUUGCUGGUUCCAGCUCUGCUCUAUCCAUGCCAAACCCAGUGCUUCUGUUGUGACUGGUGCAAUCCCAGCCCCGCUUUAUCUUGUUGCUGCCCGGUGCUGGUGACCCUGCAGGUCCCCUACAGUUGCUUGGCUCACGCUGAUGGCACGCUGGGUGCCUUAUGUCCUUCAGGCAAAUCACCCCACGUCAGCCUUCAUUCUUCUACCUGUGUCCCAUUAAGCACAAGCAGUUUACGUGUGGAUCUUCAUCCCAGUGCAGCAAAUUGCCAUUUUCCACGCUGCGUUUGCAUUCCAGCAGCAGCUGUGUGGUUGGCUCUCCUGGCUCCUGCAGGUUCCCCAUGGUGCUCUGACAAAGCUCCUGCUCACAGCUGCCCUGGAGCAUUUAUGGCCAAAGCUGUACUGAUGGAAGAGGAGACAGAGGGUCACCUGGCGCUGAUGUUCCUGCUGAAACGAGCUGGUGCACCUUUGGUCUCCAAGCACAGCUCCCAAGAGUUGGUGAGAUGUAUCUGACACAUUAACUAUGUGGUAUGCCUUCUGUAUCCCCCUGGCAGGCUCCUGGAGGUGAAUGCAGUAACCUGGAGGUGUUUUCCCCCCUUCUUGGUAACAGCCAGAGCAGAGCAGGAGUUCUUGCAGGGACGGUUGGCCUUUUGGCGUGGCUGAUUCCUGUUUUUGAAAGUCAGAUUCAAGUGUCAGACAGGUGAAACAAGUGGGCUCCGAGUGCCUGGUCUGGUCUCCAAAGAAAACCCGUGCUUGGCCGCAGACCCAUCUGCUCUGUGUGCUUUGGAUUCAGCAGGCCUGCAUUUAUUUGCGAAUAUUAAUAUUUGUGUACUGUAACGCAUCUGAGAACAUUCGUGCUCUGAAGGUUAAGCUGUGUUUUGUCAGCAUCCCUGGUGCACGAGAGCCCGUAUCCCUGGCACGCUGCGCUGCAGGGUAAUGCAUUUUCCCUCUGUGCACGGCUUGGCCAACUCUUCGGGGGAGAACAGACGUCAGAUGGGGUUUGGCACAUGGCAGGGCAGGACCUGUGCUCUGGCUGGAGCAACUACAGCCAGUUGUGUGCUCUGGGGCUCCAUCCCUGGGAGCAGUGCCUCAAAUCUAGAGAGGGUUACUUUGCACAGAGUUGCUGGUGUAUUUUCUUUCACUCCUUGGCCUGUACAAGAGAAAAAAACUAGGUUAGGAAAUAAGACCACUUGUUGUUUUGUGAACAAAGCAGCGUUGAUCCGCAGAGCUGAAGCCAGGUAUGUUGGUAGAGCCCUGGAAUUCUGACACGUGUAUGUGCAGAUGAGCUCCUGGAAAAACCACGGCAAUGAGCCCGUGGGGUAACACAGCAUUGUUCCCAAAGAAACCAGGAGCAGAUUGGGCUGGCAGGGUGCGGGUGUGAAACGUGGGGCACUGCACUGGGGGGUGCCCAGUAAAAUACGGUUUGAAACAAUACUUGGUUAUAGAAGAAGUACUCAUGGCUUAAAAUAUCCCCGGAAGGGCUGUACGGCUGGGCAGAGCAAGUUUCCCACCUUCUAUUUUCAGCUUUUCCAGAGAUUUCCUUAAUUCUCUCAGGCUUUUCCCCUGUGUGCUGCCCCAGCCCUCCCCGGGCAUCCUGUGCUACAACCUAUUGGCAGUUUGGUAUCCCAAGUUUGCUGUGCUGACUUCAGCCUGGCUUUCCUCACGCUUGUUUCCUGGCUUCCUCCAGAAGUGGGACCGUGUCAGGUGUGUUUUUCUCAACAGGAAGAGGCAGGAAGGUGAGGGGACAGUUGCCAUAACCACCUUAUCAGCAGCAGCUCCAGACCUGAAGGAGCUGAAAUCGGUGUUGGUCACUCCUGCAGAGCAAACAGCCUUUGGAGGGCUGUGGCAAAUGGAGCCAGGGCUGUCUGUCUGAGGCCAGCGUGUAUUUCACUUUCUGGGACAAAGGCUACUUAGACAUCUGGAUUGCACUGGGGAUUUUAGGGCAAAAACCAAUUACUGGUUUGCUGUGGAUGAAGAAUGGCUCCUCGCUGCAUUUCCACCACCUUAGUGCCGUGCCAAACUUGUGCUCCAGUGCUUUGGGAGGGAGAGCUGCAGCGCAGAGCUCGUUUGGUGCCCUGGGAACGUGAGGCUGAGCAGACCUCUUCUGACCUUCGGGUGCACUGAGAAAACAAGCUCGUUUUAUGGACAGUUAAUUUAUAGAAAGUUCCUGUUUAAAUUUCCUGCAGGAGCCAUAAAGCCGGAGGACAGCUGCGCCCAUCGCAAACCAAGGGCUGCUCCCACCUGGCCCGCACAGAUCCAGCUGUAGGGAGCUGUGGGACGGAGCACUCGGGAGCUGCCCUGCAGAGGAGCAGCCCUGCAGUGCUUUGGAGGUGUCCUGACUGCUGAGAUGGGGCUCCCAGGGUCGAGUCAGGGAUACCUAUCAGCUUUUGUAUUGCGUUCACUCUGGUUUACUUAAGCCUGGCUUAAGGCGUGUGUAGGUGGCAAUAACUAACAGUCCAAAACAAAAGCUGUUUGGCAUUUUUUUUCCCCCUUCCAGGCACGGGGAAAACUGCAUUUAUUUCCUGCUGCUUUCUCCCUCCUUCCCCAAAGACAGAAAUAAGCAAAGCCUUGCAGACUUGCAGUUGUGUGUGCCGCUUUCAGUGCAAAGCAGGUAGGGUGCCGCAGCACACCCUGCACACAGCUCCAGCUCGGCUCCCCGCAGCAGCCAGGCUGCUCUGCUCCAAUAAUUCUGAUCCUGAUAGCUAAUUCUGAUCCAGUUUGACAGGGGUCGGGAUCUUAAAGACACCGAGCUCUCAGGAGAGCCCUACGAUACUCGGUCUGUCCUGCUGCUCAGAGCUGCUUUCUGCAGGCAGGUAGGCUCACGUUCACCCUCCCUGCUUUGGAUCCCUUUACCAUUUCUUCUUCUCAGCCUCUUUGCCACAUUAAAGCUAAGAUGAGAAGGAAAGAAAAACUUCCAGCUCAUACCCAGGGCUGAGAACCAGAACUGGGAGGUGCAGGAAUCCAUCCCACGAAUACUUGGAAGGCAGUUUCUUGGCUCGGGGCGCGCUGGGGAUUCGCGCCCUGGCUGCCCCCCCAUCCCCACCGCCUGUCCCUGCUCGUCAGCCCUCGCUGCUGGGCAGCCUGCGCCCUGCUCGCAGGCUGGCCUUCCUCACGCUCCUCGCCUCUUUCUCCCAGGCUGUGGCUCACCGGGGCAGAAAACGACUUCUGGGUGAGUGGCUGGAGGGUUAGAGAGGCCCCUGGAGCCCCUGCUUUGGGUAGCUGCUGGGCACUGAGCGGCGGUGGGAUGUAGGAGUGAUGGAAGGGGAGCGCCGAGCUCCGUGCAGCUCUCGCACGGUGCGGGGGUCCUUCGGUACAGCCCUUGGGCAGGUUUCCCCACCUGAUAGAGGAAAACUCUGGUAUGUUCAGGGCUUGAAAUAUCUUUGUUUUGUUGAAGCCGGGGCCUGUUUCUCUUCUUUUAAAUCUCUGCAGCAGUUGAUAAGCAGCUGGUCCUUUCUCAGGGAGAAAACGCUGCAGAAAGAAAUGCCAGGAAUGCGAACAGCAGGUGGGGACUGGCAGAUGUACAUAUCAAUCACGACAGACUGACAGAGGGGCUCAUUCCUCAGCAGAGCCUCUGUUUGCCUCUUGCUGGCUUUGUGCGAACCCCUCUGAGUCCCUUCAGCCUCCGCUGGGGGCUUAUAGCGGGGCAGCUCUUGGGCUCUGCUGGGGAGCAGUGUGCUCUGUGCUGCCCUGGGAGUGGGACCCCUGCUCCGGGGAUGGGGGCAGAGCCUUUGGAGCACACUGCCGGGUCUCAGCAGCGUUCCUAAUAACUAAAGUGCUGCACCUCGGGCUUGGGCAGUGAGGGAUCUUACUGCCACGUUGCCGAAGAAGCGGGCGGCCUCAGCGAGUUAAUUGAAUUUGCUGCACUGUUGCAUUUUAAACCAUGACUUCAUCCCUCUGAGGAGUCUGGAGUUAUUUCCGUGGACAAACCCAGGCUUGGAGACGGUGGUUCUCUGAGGUCACCUGUGCUGAGCAGCGCGGGACCGCGCAGCCGCAGGGUGCAGAAGUGCAUGGCAGAGGGCUGAGCAGGAUCUGCGGUGCCACGUGAGUGCUUCCCGAGCUCACUCCUUGCACUCACUGCUGCUGCUUUCUGAGCGCCUGGCACUCGGUGCGGAGACGUCUCGUAGUGGUAGAGCACCUGGUCGACAUGAAAGAACGGGCUGAGUGGGGAGAAGCCUUUAUCUGGUGAUCUCUGGGCGGCAUUCCUCUGUGCGAUGGCAGCGCAUGUUACAAGCAGUGCAAAGCUGCUGCCCCAAAUGACAUUUGGGAUGUUUUUUUUUCCCAGGCUCUAAGCUUUCAUUUUGGCCGACGUUGGGAUGUGUUAUCCGAGUGCUGCGGGGCCGCUUCGCUUCUGCACGGCGAUUCCUGGAAAACCCAGAAUAAAACCCGUGCUGGUGGGGCUGUGAUCAGACCUCCCCCGGCGUGAUGGGUCCCCAUGGUGUUCUGCUGGGCUCGGCCUGCCUGAGCAGCUGCUGGCUGCAAGGCUUCAGGUCAGCCAGCUCCGCUCCCAGGGAUUUGGCUGUCCCCAAAAGCCAGCAGUUCCGUGGGGUUUGCAGGGAUGGUGCUGAUUUACACAGCUGAUGUGUUUAACAAGGGAAGGCACAUCUGCCCCAAGUCCUCUCAUCAGCUUCUCUUUGCAUCACCGCUUGUUUUUGUGACAGAGCAGUGUAAGGAAGGAAGGCUUUUCCCAAGUAAGAAGGACAGUGAGGAUAAGGGGUUGCUCUGUGCUGGGGUGCGGAGCAAAGAGUUUGGAAACAUAACUUUUUCCAGCAUUAAGACUCAUUUUCUUAACUCCACAUCACAGUUCCUUGUUGGAACUGGAAUAGUUCUAAGUCCUCCUUUAAAGUACAGUAGGUAUCCGUGACCAAACCCUUAUUGGAGAGGUUGUGUCUGGUGCUGGAGUGCUGGUUCACUCCUGAGCCUAAUGGCUGGCACUGCAUGCUGUGGGUCUGAGCCCAAUGGCUGGCACUGGAGUUUCCCAUGCUGUGGGUCUGCCUUGUGCUCGUUCUUGAGUUUUCAGCAAAAACAGUUCAGCCAUUUUCAGGAGCUAAAGGCAGAAGUGCCCAAAGUUGUGAGUAUUUAAGAGAACAACGAAGCUUAACUGCGGUGCACGGAGCCGCCUGCUGUUGUCAGUGUCUGAGGGCUGUGCUCCAGGCAGAAAUGCCCUGAUCUUAUCACCUGGCAGGCACCAGAAUGGCUUUGCAGACCUCACCUGCUGCUCAGAGAUGCUAUCCACAAAGGGCCUGGUUGGCUGGGCCAGGGCAGGGCGGGGACACCUGGGGGGGGACACCCCUAUCCCCUCACUGCUGCCUUGUGUACGGCCAUGGCUGGGUGAGGAGCUGCUCUGUCCUGUGGAGAGAAGUCCAGAGAAGGUGCAGAACGAGCAGCACGCUGUGCUUGCUGUGAGCAGCUCAUGGGCAGCCCAAGCUCAGGUAUUCUCACUUUGAAUUCAUUAUUUGCAGCUUGUACUACCCGCAGCAGCAUCCUGCCUUGCUGAGAGCAUUAGGAGUGGGUGGUGUGGGGCUCAGCCUGCAGUCAUAGCAGCUCAUCCUGUGGUUGUCACGAGGCACCGAGGGGCAGCCUGGCUUCUGCUGCCCUGCUGCUAUCUCUGACAAUCACUGUGUGUGUGUGUGUGUGCGCUUCAUUAAUGUGGUUUUAUGUGCACUUUGUUGCAGUGAGGUUGUAGAGGCCUUUGUGUUGAAGUCCCCAAACUGCACCUCUCUUGGUCUUUACAGCACGCCUCUCUCUGGCUGCGUGCUGUUGUAGUUCCCUGCUCUGCUGUACAGGUGCCUGUUAAGCAGGGAGUGCCUGGGGACUGCAGCUGCUAAGCCAGGUUUUCUCUUCUCCGUGUCUAAAACUCGAGCUGCACGUUUUUCCUUAGAGCUUGUUACUAAAGCUCAGGCACCAGGCCUGAACUCCUCUUAGCAGGUGGGCUGUUGGGAAGCUGGAUGCUAAUCCUGGCUGCCCUGUAGCCUUUUUUUUGUUGUUUUGGUAAUGAAGUCUACCCCCUCCAGGUGAAGGCACGAAGCUGUGGCCGGGCUCUGCACCUUGGUCCUGCUGUAUGAGCACUAAGACAGAACUGCAGCCGUGGCACAGCACAGUCCUGCAGGGCUGCCCGGCCUCUCGGGACCCUGCAGCUCCUCCCCAAACCUGCAGCCCCUUAGCGACAGCCAGCCUAGGAAGUGCCAUAUAACCACUGAAGUAAGAUAACGUAAGCAAAUAGAAGCUUUAGUGCAGGUAAUUGGGUACCUAAUUGCUGCAUUUGCCACCUGGGGACUGGAAUUGCUCUCUGCUCUGGAGGCUGAAUGGGCCAUACUGUGAUAAGCAGUUUAAUUGUUUCCCUGCAUCUGCUGCAGCAUUAUAAAACCAAGGCAAGCUGCACACACCUUCAGAGCUUAACAGCCUCGCUGCAACUCUGAGCCUGUGUUUUCCUGUGGCUCUUGAGCAUCCCUCUUCAUGCAGCCCUUCUGUUCUCCACACCCUUUAUCCUUGCCUAGGUUGCGUGUUAGCAGUGAGCCACUGAGGUUUUUGGAAAGUUGUUGAGGUCUGUGCAGUUGUUAGCUGUAAGGAGUGUGCAAGCGGUGAGGAGGGUCUGCUGGCAGUGGGAUGCCCUCUCCAGCCAAUUGUUGGGGUCUGAGCAUCCUUUUCAUAAGGAACAGUAGAUGGGUGCUGAGCAGAAAUCACACCCAGGUUGACUUGAGGGGUGGUAUUUGGAAGGAGAGGUGUGGGGUGUGAGGGGCUCUGAGUGCUUGAGGCUGUGACAUGGGGCUGCCCUCCUUCUCGGAGGCACUGCUGGGUGCCUGUGCCUGGGAGAGGCAGCCCUGCUGCAGGAGCUGAGAGCAGGGCGUGGGGGCUUUGGGGGGGAGCCAGGGGAGAUGGUGCUUGGUGGGGACAGGCACGAGCUGGUACAGAACCCGGCUGAGCACUGGUGUCAUUUUCCUAGUUGCCUCAGAGUGGCAUUCAGCUCUGUUUUCCCGGGGCAAACACCGGUGCUUUAAUGACUUUGCCCCCAUUCCUGGGAUUCCUGCAGUCUGAGCAGGUGUAUUACCUGUGCUUUGCUUCUUUGCUUUGCCCUGGGAGAGACGUCAGCGCAGGGUCUGUCCCAUCCUCUUACUCCAAUGUUUCCCUCCAUAGUUUCACUCCACCUUUACUCCGCCUGGGUGUGCAGAGAGAGCUCCUUGCUCCCGAGCUUUGGGCACUGGCAGCAGCAGGAGGUGUUAGUGCUGGACUUGCAGCUAAGAACAGAUGCCCAAAUCCCAGCUCCACUCCUUACAGUGGAGUUCGUGGCCUCAGAAUUAUUGGGUUUGGCACUCAGCUCCACGAUGCCAGAGCAGGGUGUGGAGGAAGGCUGGAGCUGUCUGUGUGCUUCAGCCCCCCCACCGCUUCCCCCAGGCCCGGGGUGACCUGGCAGCAGGGCUGCAGCCCUGAAAGCCCUGCACAGAACCAGACGAGUUGGUUUUGAAUUGGCUUGUGCCAUAGCAGCAGGGAAGCAGCUGGACACCCCCUGAGCCAGGUCCCUGCUUUACCACUGCUCACACACUGCUGCCAUGGCUGGGGCUUGUGGUGAGGAGCAGGGAGUUCUAGCCAGGCAGUGCAAGCCUUUGCCCUCUGCUCUCUAGCAAGAGAAUACCUAUAAAAAAUGUACGCCGUGCAAAGAGCUCAUCGGUCUGAUGGAGUUUGGUGAGUCCUGAGGACCUCUAGGUUCUUUAAUUCCUCUUUCAGAAGCUUUCUUGGUCUGAGCUCUGCUUCAUUUCGCUGCUUUCCCAUUUUAUGCUGGAUGGUCAGAGCUGGAGCGUGCUGCCAAAAAAGCAUUUACAAUGGUUUUCCUGAGAAACACUGAAAGUUGCAAGGCCGUGGCCGGGGCCCUGGCUGCUCUGCACAGAUUGCUCAGUGGUAAAUGUGUUCAGAGGAAGAGCUGUGGCAGUUCCACUCACUGAGCAAUAAGGGCAGAGCAGCUCCAUCGAGCUGCAUCUUCAUGCUUUGGCUUGGGGCUGCAGGGUGGGGUGCAGGAGCUGAUGGAACAGAGGGAUGCUUCCAAACAAUGUGCUAGCCCUUAGCUACGCAGCCACUAAGGACAUCAGUGAUGCUGCCUAUGUAACUGGAGUGCUGGAAACCGGCUCGCCUCGCUCCCUUGUCUGCCUCCUGUCAGCUCUUAUGCCUCAAAUCCCAUUGGUAGCAGCAGCCGGGCUGCUGGCACAGUGGGAAGGCCUUGACCCCAUCCCUCCAGUCCUGCCUGGUGCCCCGAGCUCAGCUGAUGGAAACGGUUGCUUAAAGAACACCUCCAAAGACCAUCUUGAAGUACUUCACUGUCUGAGGAAUUCCACGGAAUACUCAGAAGGUGAUGAUAAACUGUUGGAAUGCGGCUGCCUGUCCACGAAACCAUCCAGCAAAACGUUCAGACGAAUGCAAAAACCUCAUUAAGGUUUUUCCCUUGUCGGUGUGGUUUGGUGCCUGCAGGCCUGGGGUGGUUUGCUCCUCUCCUGUGCUGGGAUACGCAGCGUGCUGACCUCUGCUCCUGUGUGGCUUCCAGCAGGCCGUGUGGUCGAGAGGCUGAGCUGGGAGAAGCUGCAGAGAGAUUUCCUGCCUUACUGGGCGUGAGAAUGUAUCCCUUGGGGUCCAUCUCCUUUCUGUGUGGGAUCCUUCGUACUUACCAGGACAAAGCGUCCAGUGGAAGCCUCCUCCCUGGUGAGGAUAUUCAUCGCUUCUCUUCCGUGUGGGCUCUGAAGCCUCGUGAGGGGGUUUGUUCAGCCUUUAAUUCAGUUAAGAAGUCAGGCAAGAGUUGCAAAUCUGGUUGGUCUCGUUUGUUUCAGUGCUCGUAGCUGCAUCCCAAGCGAACAUCUGCACAGCACAGCGGGGCGGCAGUAGGGAGGAAUAGGAUUUCUAUGGGUUUCAGCUGAGAUUGCAAGGGGUGCUGGGGGCUGGGGAAGGGUUUUGUCCCACGUAGAGCGUGAGAUGGGGGAAGGACUGCAGCCCAUCAGUGGCAGGACGGUGGUGGGCAGUGCAUAGAUGGACAUCUGCGUUCCUCAUUGCAGUGACUUCCAAGGUCACUGGCUGGUGUGAAUUGGACUCAGGCAACUGGUGGAUGGUGAGUGACAGCCACGGGGACAGGAUGGCUCCUGCUGGAACACCCUUUGGUAAGGCUGCUGCCUUCAUCUCUGCAUUAUCUUGCUGAAUUUGCUCGGAGCUAUGGAAUGCUGUCUUCACAAAAGAGAAAUGGGGAGGAAAAAUACCUAUUUUAUCUUGGUGCCCUGAGUUCUGUUUCUUCUCGAGUCUUGGAAUCUGAUAAAGCAUUCAUUUGCAUGUAUGCAUACAUGCCUGUCGUGUUUGUCUUCAAAAUAUGCAUUUCUAUAGCUUCGGUAGUAAAGAGCUCUUAAAGCCAAAGAAGUCAGAGGCUAACUUGUUUAAUUGUUUAAUUUCCUGUGACUUUCGGUACUAGCUUUAGCUUAGGUUCUGUUAAAGGUCGGGUGUAAGCGUGAGGAUGUUUAUGCUCUCUAGCUCUGUUUCAGGCAAAAUCAGGAGCUGUGUUCCUGAGGGGCUGGCUGUGUGGUGGCAAAUCAAGUGAAGUCAAAGCCAGGUUAAACUGAAUGCCCUUAAGAACGAGCAGACCUUUGCUCCUCCCUGCUGCAGCUGUAUAUUUAGCCUAUGUGCCCUUUCCAAUUACAGCCAGGAGAAGACACCCGAGGAGGAAUGCAAGUCAUACCCGCCCCGAGUGCUGCCCUGGGAUCCAUCACAAAGUGCUUCUCGAGCCAGAAGCGGUGCCUUGGUAACUUCUGUCCAUAAAACUGACCCGUCCCUCCCUCCUUCUUGGGAUUUCACAUUCACCACAUCCACAGCCUCGUUCUGCACAGGGCUGAGCUUGGUGCCUGCCUUGCUCCUGGUGCAUCCAUCAGCAGCCCCUGCUCCCAGCCCAUGGUGCCUCUGUACCUGCUGCGCUCUGCCCGCUUCUCCCCAGGGCAGUGCAGUUGUUUCUCAUGCAGGGUCCAUCCUGUAUCCAGAUAAUCCCUUCUGGUCCUUCUUUUGGAGGCUGUGGGCGGUGCCUGACGUGAGGACAGCACAGCGAAGCAGCCUUCAGCUGUUAUUCGGAGUCACCUCCGUGGAUUUAUCCUAAUUUGCCUGCGUGCUGCCAGGACAGUGGCAGUUCUGGCUGCAGUGUUCCUAAUUACAGGGAAAAAAUGGUCUCUGAGGCAUCCUAAAUAUUUGGGCCGAUAAUAUCUGAGUUUCCUUUUAACUGAGAGCACUUGAAGAUAUGAUCUGGGUUGUCUGUUUGGGAAUAGCAAAGUGGGAGGAAGGGAUUGAUUGUGGUUGCUGAAGCUCUCAUCAAAGAGAGAAGACCCACCCAGCCAAAAGCAGUGCUGUGGUCACUUGUGGGGGUCUGGCGCUGCGAUGGCUGCCGUGGAUUCUCCUGAGCUCCGGGGGAUCACAGUGGCACACACUGAGCACGGGUUCUGAGGGAUCUGCAAAGCAGGAUCUAACAGCUGGGAGGCAUCCACCUGGUCUUCUAGCAGAGUCAGGUCGGCGUGCAAGCGCCUGCUUCCUUCCUGGUGGUACAAAGCUCUAGCUUGCAAAGAGAAGGUAAUGAUGAGUAGCAGGAAAGCUUCCCCUGAGCUAUGAGUAGGUUAAAUAUCUCGGUGCUUACUGUAGCAGAAUGAAAACCGCUUUGAGGUGUCGAUUGCUGUGACCACUUCCCCUGCAAGCUCCAUGGAGCGGCUGUUGGCACGCGUGACCUGAGGCAGCUAGUGACAGUUUGCAGUUCCCAUUGGCAGAAGUGCUGCUCGUCUCCCUGCCCAGCACAUACCUCAGCACAGCUGAGUUUUGUUGUUUUUUUUUCCCCUAGAUUGUUGCUCGGUGUCAGGGUUUCCUGUUGCUGACAACAGCUGUGCUGGAGAUGAGCAGAACCUGCUACUUCGCAUUUGGUCUAUGGUUACAGGCGGGCAGGACAGCUGGCACUUCAGCAUUAAACCACAACUGCAGGGGUGAGCUUGUCUUUCAGACAGGCAUCCUGUCCUGUGCACGUCCUCCCCGCACGUGUCUGCUCAGGGUGUCCUUGGUGGGGGCCUGGCUUCGUGGAGGGAGAACGUCCGUCCCCAGCUUCGCCCGUGUGCUCGUGCCAGCUGCGUGACAAAUGUCCCUGAGCAACUGUCCUCCUGCACGUCCCAACCGUAACUCACCCGGGCGUGCAGAGGCUGGAGCUGGUGAGCGCCUGGGUCACUGCUGUGCAUGCAGGUGGCUGGCAGGGUGGAGGGUAGGAGAAGCCCCCUCCUGCCCAGCCCCCCACAGCCGUGCAUGGAGCAGCAGUCGGCACCAGGGCACGUGCAGCACUGUGCCCCUGCCCGCGCCCAGCCGGCCCACCACAUUGCAUCAUUCCUGCUGCUCGCUGCCUCGACACGCAGCCACUGAUGGGACUUGCCUGGAGAUUCUCCUGUGGGAACACGCAUGAGAGCUGUGCACGCACAAUAGAUGUGCCUUGGGAAGUUGCACCAGCCCGUUGAGUUCUGCCCUGAGUUGGCUUCCUUAGGGAGAGGCUGUUCAGUGCUGCCUUUAUGGGGACAUUGGUAAAUAAGCAGCUCAGGUAAGUGGGAUUCCUCCUUGCUCUCCUUAAUUCCUUCUUAUCUGGAGCAGGGCAUAGGAAGGCAGCUACCCAGGCUUUCAGCGUGCAAGGUUCAGAGGCAUUAACAUGCUGGCAGUGAUUAAUUACCGCAGCCCACUGAUGUGACUGUACUUGAGCAAUUGGAUUAGGUGCAGCUGGGCAGGGGCUCACUUAGCAGGUUCUUGCUGGAGCCGUGAUGUAGUUGACCACGCAGAAGUGAUUCCUAGGGCAGCUGCACUCCUGCUGGGGCCGUGCUCCUCCUGGUCCUGCGGUGGGCACACAGCAAGGUGCCAUGGCUGGCAGGAGCUGUGUUGUCCAGGUCUUGCUUUCGGCCCCGUCUUCCGGCCGCUCUGUUCUGCGUUCCUGCAUACGAAGCAGUGCAUAUCCUUAGCACAUCAGCAGGCCUUGUGGUUGCAUGGAGGAGUCAGCUCCAGCAUUGCCUUGACAAGUCAGCAUCAUAUCAGCAUCACCCAGCAGGCCCGGCUGCGUGCUCCGAGAUGAGGAUUUGGCAUCAGCAAUCAGGCAUCAACAUUGGCACGUGCGCUGAGCACCGAGGCCAAAGCAGAUGUUGAUCCCAGCUUUGAUGUUUAAUCCAACGUUUUGGAGGUUCAAAGUGGAGACCCAAAAGAGCUCUCGCAGAAGCAGGAGGAUAAAGAGAAACUCGGUGCUUUCAUAAGAUCAGACGGAGCAAAACAUCCUGAAAUUCAGGACUAACCUGAACCUUUGUGGUGGUUGUGCCAAACAGGGCAGCGCAGCUCCUGCUGGAGGAGGGAGCACUGCUGUGUGGAGGAGCUGGAGUGGCCCGGCCUGCCCCGGUAGCCUGAAAGCAAGUGGAUGAGCCCUGCAGCACGGUGAUCCCUGCAGAGCAGAAAGCAGCAUUGCAGAAUUCUGUUUGAUUUUUGGCUCUGUUCUGAGCUUGCAUGAAACGGUGGAAUCAUAGAAUGGCUUGGGUUGGAGGGGGGGGCCUUAAACAUAUCUAGUUCCAACUCGCUGAAGCAGGCAGGGAUGCCAACCAUCAGCUCAGGCUGCCCGGGAUCCCACCCAGGCUGGCAUCAAGUGCAUCCAGAGAUGGGGCAUCCACAUCCUCUCUGCACAACCUGUCCCAGCACAUGGCUGGACAGCAGGCUGUUGGCCCUUCUGAUCCUCUCCGGCUCCGUGCUGGUCUCAGCUCAUGGAAGGUGAUCCUGAACGCCAUCAUCUUCUACCUAUGACUGGGCAGUCUCAAACAAGUGAGUGCGUUCUGCCCAUCACAGCAUGUGAAAUAGUUUGGCUGUAGCUCUUGAGCUUCCCUGGAGGCAUCGUGCAGGUGCCCAUGCUUUUUCCACCCUCCCGUGUUUGUUCUGUGCAUCUGCCCUUGUAGACUCAAGCUCUGUGCUGUGCACAGGUGUGGAUCUGUCAUGAAGAGACCGUAGCUGGGAGCCUUGCUCUGGCUCUGGGGAGCUGCCCUGCCUUUGGUCCUAGCACAGUGUGAGAGCCUGGCACCACUUCAGCUUCUGUUGUUGUAUGGUGAGGAGCUGUAUUAAAGAGAUUUCUUGGUGGUGUAACGCUGUUCUUACUUCUCCUGGCUUUUCUUUUGAUGAUGGCUACGGAAUUCUUCCUGUCCCUCCAUUGUGCUCUGCUUCUGGCUGCAGAGACUGUUCUGUGGUUUUCCUAAGGGAAAUUUGGAAUUGGUGUGACCUGCAAGUGUCACACUGGAUCUGCACAGCCGGUGCUUGAGUUGCUUGGCUGAGGGGUGCGGGCAGUGCCUGUUGCCUGCUCCAGAGGUUCUUUCUGCAGCGGGUGAUGACUUCAUCCUCCUCUCCUGCUUGCCACAGAUAUCAGGGUCUGGCUCCGUUCUCCCAGGCACUCCUAUCCGUCCAGCAGGAUCGCCCCGGGGCGGAUCGCAGAGUUGGCAGAACAACACAGAGCCUCACCGUGGCAGUGCGUGGUUCCUGCAGCCACGGCAGGCGGGGGGCAUCGCUGCUGUGGGGACACGGUGCCCUUCUCUGCAGGUGUGGCUGCAGCUCUGCGUGGCUGCUGCUGGCUGCACGUCCAUCCCACGCAGGUGUGGAGGCCCAGCUGUGAGCAGCAGUCAUGUUUCUGUGCUGAUUACCAUCUCAGCUCCACAACAGCCACGUUCCUCAGCUGCCGCCUUCCUCCCCUGGCUGCAGCCUCUGAUCCUGCCCACGCUUGCAGCUUCGCUGCUCUCCACUCCCUCCAUGCAGACCUUCCAGUGAUGGGGCCACAGGAGAAGCAGCUCGUGGACAAGGUGCUAUGGGUGCAGGCUCUAUGGAGGCUGCGGGCCUCUUUCUGCCUUCUUAUAGCUGUGUGCAGUGACAGUGUCUUGGUUUCCUACUGUGGCAGUGGGUGGCCUCACCAGGACCUUCUGCAGAGCCUUGUUCUGUCUCCAGAGCUUGUUCGGAACAAGAUGUGCAGAGCAUGCUGGAAGUUCUCUUCUUGUUGUGACUCCAGGCUCACCAAAUUCACCACGUCCAAAAGUCACGUGCAUUCCUGUGUCAUUUGAUGCGUGUCAGAGUCUCAUCCCCUGACAAGGCAGGGAGCUGGUAGGAGCCGGGGCCUUUGGGAAGUAGGACUUGCCUUUACCUACCCAGCUGCUUCAUACCUGGUGGUGACAGCCUCUGGAGAGGCAGCUCAGGUGUUUCACUCUGGGUGCAGACCACAGCGUUGCCCUUGGGAAGAGCCUGGAUUUGGUUUCUCUGUUACUUGGCCCAAUGUGCUCCUGUCCUGGGCUCUCCUCUGGCCCAGUGUCUUGCACCGACCCCCUCCCAGCUGAUUCCCAGUGCUUUCCAGCAGCGUUUUCCACCCGUGCUGUUUCUCCUGCCUUUCACUUGAGGGCCUUCUGAGGCUGGCAGCGCUCAGAUCACAUAUCUGCCUGACAAAUGCUGCACCAGAGGUUACUGCGUUCGACUCUCAACCCCACUGCCCCUGGGUGGGGGCACGGAGGUGUCAGUCCUCUGCCCGCAGGUGGGGAAGGCCUGUUGCAGGGUGAGGACGUGCCAGCCUUUGCACAGCCCCUCUGCCUUCUCCCUUCUGCAGUAGGCCUGGCUGUGCAGCCGCGUGGCCUUGGGGCACGCCAUGCUGCAGCAAUGGGUGGCGGGCUGUGCGGGGUGCUUACGGGUUUGGGAAUGGAUUUGGUUUCAGCUUGACAGGCAAACAGCUUCAGGGGUGGGGAACUCUGAAGCAUCCUCAGCCCGAGGACUCGGUGUCCAGAAUAGCACAAGCUCUGCGUCAGCCUCAGAGCGCCCGCAGCGCGCUCCAGCUUUGUUGGUUAGCUGGGCGGAUGCAGAACCCGCCCUGUGAUGGCUUUGCACAGGGCAGCUCCCAGCCCUGCUCACACGCUCUGCAGUCAGGGCAGCAGCACGUGUGUGAGGGCAGCCAGGCGUACACCCGCAGUGUGGGAGCUGUGCUGGGGGCUGUGGCUCUUUGUGGUCGUGAGGCAGGGUUUGCUCUCGGAAUUCCGAGCUGCUGCCCUCAGCCUGGGAAAUAAAGGGUUGGUUAAAGGUGCCUGAGCACCUGGAUCCAAGGUAGCCCAGUCCCAAGUGCUCUCUGUGGCCUCACAUGUGUAGCUUGCUCAGGUCUGAUCCUAGAGUGCGUGUUGCUGGCCCCAAAGUCAGGUAUGAACACUGGCUAAUCCCAAAGGCUGGAACUGGAAGUGAGCCUGGUUUAAGGAGUUGCUCUAUGGGGUGGAGGAGCGGAAGCAUCUGUCGUGCAUUGAGUAUCAAAGGUUUCUAGGGGCCUUCACGCUGAGUAAUCAGCAUUUAAAUGUGCUGCUGCCCCUGCCUGAGUGCUGCUUGCCUCCAAAGACCCCUCUGCACUGUGCUCUGCCCCCAGCUGUGUCUGCCCACUGCCUGGGGCCAGCGGGUGCUCCAGCAGCAGCAUGGCCGUGUGCGUGGAAAGCAGGCAGGUCUGAUUGCUCUAGAGAUGCUGUGCAUCAGGAAAAGAGCUGGG
rnacentral:lncRNA from 1 species